rnacentral:rRNA from 1 species
GUAGGGAAUAUUGGGCAAUGGGCGAGAGCCUGACCCAGCCAUGCCGCGUGCAGGAUGAAGGCUUUCUGAGUCGUAAACUGCUUUUGCCAGGGAAGAAAAAGAGGGAUGCGUCCUUCACUGACGGUACCUGGUGAAUAAGCACCGGCUAACUCCGUGCCAGCAGCCGCGGUAAUACGGAGGGUGCAAGCGUUGUCCGGAUUUAUUGGGUUUAAAGGGUGCGUAGGCGGCCGAUUAAGUCUGGGGUGAAAGCCCACUGCUCAACAGUGGAACUGCCCUGGAAACUGGUCGGCUUGAGUACAGACGAGGGUGGCGGAAUGGAUGGUGUAGCGGUGAAAUGCAUAGAUACCAUCCAGAACCCCGAUUGCGAAGGCAGCUGCCUAGACUGUAACUGACGCUGAGGCACGAAAGCGUGGGGAGCGAACAGG